UUAAGCUUCUAGCUACGGCCCUGCCAAAGAUUCGACCUGACUCACCGGCAUCCAGCUGUUCAUCUGAAGACACAGUCACUACCAUGACACCUGCAGCAGCUUCAUCAAAACUAUCAGAUCACUUGGACUCAUUUCAAAUGAGUGAAGUGAUGCGAUCACCCAAUUUUAAAAAGAUGACCGUUAAUUUGAUGAUGGCUCUGUUUGAAAGAGAAAGGUCCUGGCGGAAUCCUCUGUAACCGACUAACCGGGAAAAGUAAAGAGGGGCGCCCCGCAUUGGACUACUGCAAGGUUGAACUGAUUAUAGAUUUUGUUACUAAAAGAUUCCCACAAGUUGGUGGAGUAGUCAUAAAGUCAACCAUGGCCCAAAAAUGCAAAGAUCUAAGGGUGUCGAUGGAAAACAAAAGGAAAAAACAUGAGGGAGCAUAGAUGC